AUGCUUUCGUCACCUGUUUUCACACCCCACGAGGGGUCUCUGCUUCCAUCCUACCAUUUCGCAAGCUUGGACUCAAGCUCCCCGGGCUGCACCCAGAGUGGCCCACCUCUGUGCCAGGAGCAUUCACAGAGGGAUGGCUUCAUGAAGGCAAUGAGAGCACUGCCUGAAAGACAGUCUUCCCGAGUCUCUCAGAAACACAGAGUAGCAAGGCACUGUCUGCUCUUACUCUUCUGAAAUCCUCAACCCAUCUUCUUUGCCCUAAACUCCGAGGCUCCCCCGCCGGCAUUCCACCGUAUUGAAGGGCUUACCUGCAUGGUGCCAGCAAAGACAGAGGUGAGUUGGUAUUAUAAGCUCAGAUACGUCUUUGGAAAGGAAUGAAAGAUUGAGGCUGGGGAAAGAGAGAAACACUUUUUUCUUCCCAGUGGAAACAUUUGCACGCUACAAUUGGAGAGUGUCAUUCUGCCAGCCAGUCAUAUUGGGGUGGUGUCCUGAGCUAUGGACUUCAUGUAUGCAAUUCUCUUUCUCAAAACAUAGCUUUGAGGUAGGCAUAAUUAUUGCCUUAUUGUGAAUAACUAGUAGGAGGACCGGAAAGGUGAAGAACAUGCCAGAAACCCAGCUGGUAAGCCUCUGAGCCAGAAACUUAAUCCCAAGAGCAGAUCACUGAGUGUGAACACAGUACUGGAACUCAGCAACAUGGAGGCUGCAAGAUGGCAAGCCCACCCUAGGAGGCAGCGGAGUGGCAUUUGAAGGGGAUGAGAUAACAGCUCUUAUUUAUUUGUUACGUGCAUGACCUAGUGGGCAGCAAAGCUGGAAUUUGCCUGAGAUUCUGAAGUUUGAAUCUUCAUCCAAUAUACUACCCUGCCCACAACAUAAGCUGUGGGCAGAGACAUUCUCUAACUUCGGAAGGCAAACUUUUCCACUGGGGAGAGAGAAAGCUGUCAAAAACUUCUCACUGGGUUGAGGGUGUGGGUGCAUUUUUUCCCCACUGGAAGUUGCUGAAACGUCUGGGAGACUUUUAAGGUUGACUCGGUCAUGAUCCUACCCCAUAUCCUGCUGCUUCCUUGGUUUCCAGAGCAACAGCGCAGGAUGGGGAGAACAUACGUGGUAUCAGAUUUGGACAGGGAGGCGAGCAGCAGUGUUUGUCAGUGGGAACGGAGUGUGACACACACAGCCUGGGCUCUGUGCCUUGCCCAAGCUGUCACACGCACCACAUCCUCCAGAAGCUGGGUGAUAACAGCCUGGAAUCCACCAACCCCCUUGCCUGUCUUUAAGGAAGAAUAGCAUGGAAAGAGACAAAAUAAGGACAAGGCAGAAGGAGAAGACACUGGUUCAGCUCGAAGAAACUCCUGCCCUGGUUCACAGCAUCCUCGCAGGACCACAGGGUUAGAGAACAAUUGCCACUCCCAAAGUCUUCAGACACCUCCAACCCUCACGACUUGGAUAACAAUUUGCAAAAUUAAAUUACUUUCCAUUGGG